rnacentral:rRNA from 1 species
GACGAACGCUGGCGGCGUGCUUAACACAUGCAAGUCGAACGAAGUGGAGAACGGGGGAGUAAUAAGUGAGUAACCUGCCCUCCUUUUUGGGAUAAGCCUUGGUAACGGGGUGUAACACCGAAUAAAGGGGGAUGGGCUCGCGGCCUAUCAGCUUGUUGGUGGGGUGAUGGCCUACCAAGGCGGUGACGGGUAGCCGGCCUGAGGGGGUGAACGGCCACAUUGGGACGGGGAUACGGCCCAGACUCCUGCGGGAGGAGGCAGUGGGGGAUAUUGCACAAUGGGCGAAAGCCUGAUGCCGCGACGCCGGGUGAGGGAUGAAGGCUUUUGGAUUGUAAACCUCUUUCGCGAACGAACGGGUAGGUGGAGAAGAAGCGACGGCUAACUACGUGCCAGCAGCCGCGGUAAUUC